AUUCCAGCUCCAAUAGCGUAUAUUAAAGUUGUUGCAGUUAAAAAGCUCGUAGUUGGAUUUCUGCAGAGGACGACCGGUCCGCCCUCUGGGUGAGUAUCUGCCUCGACCGGGGCAUCUUCUUGGAGAGCGUAGCUGCACUUGACUCUGUGGUACGGUACCCAGGACUUUUACUUUGAGGAAAUUAGAGUGUUUCAAGCAGGCACACGCCUUGAAUACAAUAGCAUGGAAUAAUAAGAUAGGACAUUGGUUCUAUGUUGUUGGCUUCUAGAGUGGAGGUAAUGAUUAAUAGGGAUAGUUGGGGGCAUUCGUAAUUAAUUCUCAGAGGUGAAAUUCUUGGAUUUGUUAAAGUCGGACUACUGCGAAAGCAUUUGCCAUGGAUGUUUUCAUCA
rnacentral:rRNA from 1 species